GAUGAACGCUAGCGGCAGGCCUAACACAUGCAAGUCGAGGGGUAACAUAGAAAAGCUUGCUUUUCUGAUGACGACCGGCGCACGGGUGCGUAACGCGUAUACAACCUACCUUUUAGCGGGGAAUAGCCCAGGGAAACUUGGAUUAAUGCCUCAUAGUAUAUAAGCUUCUCCUGAAGUUUAUAUUAAACAUUUAUGGCUAUUAGAUGGGUAUGCGUCCUAUUAGUUAGCUGGUAAGGUAACGGCUUACCAAGGCAGCGAUAGGUAGGGGUCCUGAGAGGGAGAUCCCCACACUGGUACUGAGACACGGACCAGACUCCUACGGGAGGCAGCAGUGAGGAAUAUUGGACAAUGGGCGAGAGCCUGAUCCAGCCAUGCCGCGUGCAGGAAGACUGCCCUAUGGGUUGUAAACUGCUUUUACAGAGGAAGAACCACCCCCACGUGUGGGGGUUUGACGGUACUCUGCGAAUAAGGAUCGGCUAACUCCGUG
rnacentral:rRNA from 1 species